CGCAGACGCUGAUGCGGCAUGUAUAAUGCAUGUAGUCGAGCGAUGCAUCAGGUCAGCGGGGACGGUGAAUUAACAGGUAGCAACCUGCCCGUAAAGCUGGAUAAUCUAUGGAAACCGAGCUAAACCGGAUAGUAUCUGAACCGCAUGGUUCUAGCUGGAAAACGGUAGCAAUUGUCAAUUACAGAUGGGCCCGCGGCGCAUUAGCUAGUUGGUGAGGUAAUGGCUCCCCCAGGCAACGAUGCGUAGCCGACCUGAGAGAGGUGAUUGGCCACCAUGGGAAUGAGACCAGGCCCAGACUUCUACGGGAAGCAGCCGUAGGGAAUUCUUCGCCAUGGACGAAAGUCUGAAGGAGCAACGCCGCGUGAGUGAUGAAGGUUUUUGGAUUGUAAAACUUUGUUGUUAGGGAAGAACAAGUGCGAGAGUAACUGCUUGCACCUUGACGGUACCUAACCAGAAAACCCCGGCCAAAUACGUGCCCGCCGGCGCGGUUAUAAGUAGGUGGCCAACGUUGUCCGGAAUUAUUGGGCGUAAAGCGCGCGCCGGCGGUUUGUUAAGUUUGAUGUGAAAGCCCCCGGCUCCACCGGGGAGGGUCACCGGAAACUGGGAAACUUGAGUGCAGAAGAGGAAAGUGGAAUUCCACGUGUAGCGGUGAAAUGCGUAGAGAUGUGGAGGAACACCAGUGGCGAAGGCGACUUUCUGGCCUGUAACUGACGCUGAGGCGCGAAAGCGUGGGGAGCAAACAGGAUUAGAUACCCUGGUAGUCCACGCCGUAAACGAUGAGUGCUAAGUGUUAGAGGGUUUCGCAGCCCCUUAGUGCUGCAAGCUAACACAGUAAGCACUCCGCCUGGAGACGCCGUCGC
rnacentral:rRNA from 2 species